GACUACUGGGGUAUCUAAGCCUGUUUGAUCCCCACGCCUUCGUGCAUGAGCGUCAGUAACGGUUUAGUAAGCUGCCUCCGCAAUCGGUGUUCCUUGUGAUAUCUACGCAUUUCACCGCUACACCACAAAUUCCGCCUACCUCAUCCGCACUCAAGAGAAACGGUUUCAACGGCACUGUCGAGGUUGAGCCCCGAAAUUUCACCGCCGACCUAAUUCCCCGCCUGCGCACCCUUUAAACCCAAUAAAUCCGGAUAACGCCUGGAUCCUCCGUAUUACCGCGCCUGCAGCCCCCCGUAGG
rnacentral:rRNA from 1 species